rnacentral:tRNA from 1 species
ACUUUUAAAGGAUAAGAGUUAUCGGUUGGUCUUAGGAGCCGAAAAU